AUUGAACGCUGGCGGCGUGCUUAACACAUGCAAGUCGAGCGGUAACAGGUGUAGCAAUACAUGCUGACGAGCGGCGAACGGGUGAGUAAUGCAUCGGAAUCUUCCUAGUAGUGGGGAAUAACCUGGGGAAACUCAGGCUAAUACCGCAUACGACCUACGGGUGAAAGCAGGGGAUCGCAAGACCUUGCGCUAUUAGAUGAGCCGAUGUCGGAUUAGCUAGUUGGUGGGGUAAAGGCCUACCAAGGCGACGAUCCGUAGCUGGUCUGAGAGGACGACCAGCCACACUGGAACUGAGACACGGUCCAGACUCCUACGGGAGGCAGCAGUGGGGAAUAUUGGACAAUGGGGGCAACCCUGAUCCAGCGACGCCGCGUGUGUGAAGAAGGCCUGCGGGUU
rnacentral:rRNA from 1 species